rnacentral:rRNA from 1 species
AGGACGAACGCUGGCGGCGUGCUUAACACAUGCAAGUCGAACGGUAAGGCCUCUUCGGGGGUACACGAGUGGCGAACGGGUGAGUAACACGUGGGUGACCUGCCUUGAGCUCUGGGGUAAGCCUGGGAAACUGGGUCUAAUACCGGAUAUGACCUGUCCUUGCAUGGGGGUGGGUGGAAAGUUUUUUCGGCUUGAGAUGGGCCUGCGGCCUAUCAGCUUGUUGGUGAGGUGAUGGCCUACCAAGGCGGCGACGGGUAGCCGGCCUGAGAGGGCGACCGGCCACGACUGGGACUGAGAUACGGCCCAGACUCCUACGGGAGGCAGCAGUGGGGAAUAUUGCGCAAUGGGCGGAAGCCUGACGCAGCGACGCCGCGUGGGGAUGACGGCCUUCGGUUGUAAACCUCUUUCGACCCGACGAAGCGUAAGUGACGGUAGGGUAUAAGAAGCACCGGCCAACUACGUGCCAGCAGCCGC